rnacentral:rRNA from 1 species
GAUGAAUGCUGGCGGCGUGCUUAACACAUGCAAGUCGAGCGGUAAGGCCCUUCGGGGUACACGAGCGGCGGACGGCUGAGUAACGCGUGGGAACAUGCCCUAAAGCGAGGAAUAACUGCCCGAAAGGGUGGCUAAUGACGCAUAUGAUCUUCGGAUUAAAGGAUUUAUCCGCUUUAGGAGUGGCCUGGGUACGAUUAGCUUGUUGGUGAGGUAAUGGCUUACCAAGGCGACGAUCGUUAGCUGGUCUGAGAGGAUGACCAGCCAGACUGGAACUGAGACACGGUCCAGACUCCUACGGGAGGCAGCAGUGAGGAAUCUUCCACAAUGGGCGAAAGCCUGAUGGAGCAACGCCGCGUGCAGGAUGAAGGCCCUCGGGUCGUAAACUGCUUUUAUGAGUGAAGAAUAUGACGGUAACUCAUGAAUAAGCACCGGCUAACUACGUGCCAGCCGCCGCGGUA